AGCUUUGUGCAGUGGCAGUAUUGUAGCCAACGAGGUUUAUCUGAGGCGCAAUUAUUGCUAACUGAAUAUUCACUUAUU
rnacentral:snRNA from 1 species